AACGCGAAGAACCUUACCUGCCCUUGACAUGCCAGGAAUCUCGCAGAGAUGCGGGAGUGCCUUCGGGAACCUGGACACAGGUGCUGCAUGGCGGUGGUCAGCUCGUGUCUUGAGAUGUUGGGUUAAGUCCCCCAACAAGCGCACCCCUUGUCUCUAUUUACUACCAGUUCGGGUGAGCACUCUAGAGAGACUGCCGGUGAUAAACCGGAGGAAGGGGGGGAUGACGUCAAGUCAUCAUGGCCCUUAUGGGGAGGGCUACACCCGUGCUACAAUGGACGGUACAAAGGGUUGCCAACCCGCGAGGGGGAGCCAAUCCCAUAAAGCCGUUCGUAGUCCGGAUUGCAGUCUGCAACUCGACUGCAUGAAGUCGGAAUCGCUAGUAAUCGCAGAUCAGCAUUGCUGCGGUGAAUACGUUCCCGGGUCUUGUACACACCG
rnacentral:rRNA from 1 species